UACGUAGGGGGCAAGCGUUGUCCGGAAUCAUUGGGCGUAAAGCGCGUGUAGGCGGCCCGGUAAGUCCGCUGUGAAAGUCGGGGGCUCAACCCUCGAAUGCCGGUGGAUACUGUCGGGCUAGAGUGCGGAAGAGGCGAGUGGAAUUCCUGGUGUAGCGGUGAAAUGCGCAGAUAUCAGGAGGAACACCAAUUGCGAAGGCAGCUCGCUGGGACGUGACUGACGCUGAGACGCGAAAGCCAGGGGAGCAAACGGG
rnacentral:rRNA from 1 species